rnacentral:rRNA from 1 species
AGUUCAGAUUGCAGUCUGCAACUCGACUGCAUGAAGUCGGAAUCGCUAGUAAUCGCGGAUCAGCAUGCCGCGGUGAAUACGUUCCCGGGCCUUGUACACACCGCCCGUCACACCAUGAGAGUCGGGAACACCCGAAGUCCGUAGCCUAACCGCAAGGGGGGCGCGGCCGAAGGUGGGUUCGAUAAUUGGGGUGAAGUCGUAACAAGGUAAC